UACGAAGGGUGCAAACGUUGCUCGGAAUCAUUGGGCGUAAAGAGCUCGUAGGUGGUUCGGUAAGUCGGAUGUGAAAUCUCCAGGCUCAACCUGGAGGGGUCAUUCGAUACUGCCGUGACUAGAGUUCGGUAGGGGAGUGUGGAAUUCCUGGUGGAGCGGUGGAAAUGACGCAGAUAUCAGGAGGAACACCCGUAGCGAAGGCGGCACUCUGGGCCGAUACUGACACUGAGGAGCGAAAGCGUGGGGAGCGAACAGG
rnacentral:rRNA from 1 species